GAUCCUGGCUCAGGAUGAACGCUGGCGGCGUGCUUAAUACAUGCAAGUCGAACGAAGCACCUUGGACAGAAUCCUUCGGGAGGAAGACCAUUGUGACUGAGUGGCGGACGGGUGAGUAACGCGUGGGUAACCUGCCUUGUACAGGGGGAUAACAGUUGGAAACGACUGCUAAUACCGCAUAAGCGCACAGUACCGCAUGGUACGGUGUGGAAAACUCCGGUGGUACAAGAUGGACCCGCGUCUGAUUAG
rnacentral:rRNA from 1 species